AUGGAUCAGCGGGUUGUGAGUGUGAGCGACAGAAGCACAUUCUUCUCAUUUCGGGUAACUUCGGCUACAUUUCUGUGUGAUGCUUUUGGUGUUCCCCACCACAUCUCCUUAGCCCUUGUCAGAUUUCAGCAGCAGCCCUGGUGGACAGCCCUCCUGUAUGCUGACAGCAUCCCACCUCCAGUGCCUGCCCUGUCUUUCUACUUUUCUGCCCUCAGGCCGGUAGGGGAGUUAAUGCCCCCAGGCAGAAUCCUCAAGCAAUGGAACAUGGGAGUCAGUGGGACCCAAAUCCUUGCUUCUGGAUCUGCUCUCAAGCUAAGAAGGUCACUCUCAAGCUAACUCUCAAGCUAAGAAGGUCACUGUCAAGCUAAGAAGGUAGCUCUCAAGCUAAGAAAGUCACUCUCAAGCUAAGAAGCCCAAGGGGACAGACCACUGGCCAGGGCAGUGCUGUCUCUACUGAUUGCCACAGUGCGAGGGCUGGUCACAGGGGAUGUGGUACUUGUUGGUCUUCAAACACCUGUGAAAUGGCCUCCAGAGACUUUCAGCAAAACUUGGGUGGUGCUGUGGGAGAGACUCUUUUCUGCCCCCUAAAAUUUAUUCUUUCCUUUUAGGAUUCCACAGGCUGCCCAAUGGAAAGUACAUUUCCCAGCCUCCCUUGCAGCUAGGGCAGCCAUGCUCUUGUCAAUGGAAUGUGAGUGGAAGUGAUGAGUCAUUUACUUAAAAGGAAGUUGCUUGGCCUCUAUUUCUUCAUUCCCCGUCCCUGGGGGCUGGAAGUGGAGUUGCUGGUGGUGGUGCUGAGCUCUGACAAGAACACUUCAGGGGCAGAUGGAGCAGCAUGGUAGAAGGAAUCUGGCACCCUGAGUGACACUGUGGAUCAGAGCUGCCUCCCUUCUCAGGACCACCAUCCAUCUACAGGAUGUUACAUGAGGGAGAAAUAAACUUUUAUUCUGCUUGAACUGUUACGUAUUUGAAUCUCUCUGUUCCAGCAACUUAUGCAGUGCCCUGGACUAAUACAAUUAAUAAGAAGGAAUCUGAACAAGUAAAUUAUGGGUAUAAAUGCUUAUGUGACCUCAUUUUGUGUCCUGAGGCCCAGGGACAUUCAGGUUACAUAACUGUGUUGAGGUGGCUCAAGCACUAUAGAGCACCUGAGAGUCAGGAAAGCUCCUGGGGCACUACAGAAACCCAGGGCCCUCUCUGACUUGUCACUGACCUCAGUGGCUCCCUUAGCCUGUAUCACCUAUCAUGUAACAUGUUUGCUUCUACGUCUGUAUUAGGCUGUUCUUGCAUUACUAUAAAGAAAUACCUGAGGCCAGGCAUGGUGGCUCAUGCUUGUAAUCCCAGCACUUUGGGAGGCCGAAGGUAGUGGAUCACCUGAGGUCAGCAGUUUGAGACCAGCCUGGCUAACAUGGUGAAACCCCGUCUCUACUAAAAAUACAAAAAACAAAUUAGCUGGGCGUGGUGGUGGGCACCUGUAAACCCAGCCACUGGGGAGGCUGAGGUGGGAGAAUUGCUUGAAUCUGGGAGGCGGAGGUUGCAAUGAGCCAAGAUCUUGCCAUUGCACUCCAGUCUGGGCGACAAGAGCAAUAAAUAAAUAAAUAACAGAAAAAGCAAACUGAGACUGAGUAAUUGAGUAAUUUAUUUAAAAAAGAGGUUUAAUUGGCUCAUGGUUCUGCAGGCUAUAUGGGAAGCAUAGCAAAAUCUUCUUCUGGGAA
rnacentral:lncRNA from 1 species